ACGGCCCAGAGCUCCUACGGGAGGCAGCAGUAGGGAAUCUUCCACAAUGGACGAAAGUCUGAUGGAGCAACGCCCGUCGUGAGUGAAGAAGUUUUCGGAUCGUAAAACUCUGUUGUUGGAGAAGAAUGUAUCUGAUAGUUACAUGACUCAGGUAGUGACGUAUCCAACCAGAGCCCC
rnacentral:rRNA from 1 species